GUGGGGAAUAUUGGGCAAUGGGGGCAACCCUGAUCUAGCCAUGCCGCGUGAGUGAUGAAGGCCUUAGGGUCGUAAAGCUCUUUCGCCGGGGAAGAUAAUGACUGUACCCGGUAAAGAAACCCCGGCUAACUCCGUGCCAGCAGCCGCGGUAAUACGGAGGGGGUUAGCGUUGUUCGGAAUUACUGGGCGUAAAGCGCGCGUAGGCGGAUCGGAAAGUUGGGGGUGAAAUCCCGGGGCUCAACCCCGGAAUUGCCUUCAAAACUCCCGGUCUUGAGGUCGAGAGAGGUGAGUGGAAUUCCGAGUGUAGAGGUGAAAUUCGUAGAUAUUCGGAGGAACACCAGUGGCGAAGGCGGCUCACUGGCUCGAUACUGACGCUGAGGUGCGAAAGCGUGGGGAGCAAACAGGAUUAGAAACCCUAGUAGUCC
rnacentral:rRNA from 1 species